GCUUAACACAUGCAAGUCGAGCGGUAACAUGACUAGUAGCAAUACUAGUUGAUGACGAGCGGCGGACGGGUGAGUAACACGUAGGAACUUGCCCAGUAGUGGGGGACAACCAAGGGAAACUUUGGCUAAUACCGCAUAUUCUCGAGAGAGGAAAGCUGCCGCAAGGUGGCGCUAUUGGAGAGGCCUGCGUCCGAUUAGCUAGUUGGUAGGGUAAAAGCCUACCAAGGCGAGGAUCGGUAACUGGUCUGAGAGGACGACCAGUCACACUGGGACUGAGACACGGCCCAGACUCCUACGGGAGGCAGCAGUGGGGAAUCUUGGACAAUGGGGGCAACCCUGAUCCAGCGAUGCCGCGUGAGUGAAGAAGGCCUUCGGGUCGUAAAGCUCUUUAGGCUGGGAAGAAGAUUGGUAGUUUAAGAGAUAAUCAAUUUGACUGUACCAGCAGAAUAAGCACCGGCAAACUCUGUGCCAGCAGCCGCGGUAA
rnacentral:rRNA from 1 species